rnacentral:lncRNA from 1 species
AUUUUGGAAGUGAGAAGCCGCCAGGGACCUGCCGGCGGCCCAGGUAAGCCCCCUGGUUCACGGCAGGGGUCUCCUGGAGCUUCUUGUAGGUCCUCAGGGAGUGGAGUGUCCAGUCCUGGGAGAAAAAGGUGGCUGGUCCUUGGCACAGGGUGCCGGUUCCCGGUGGCCCGUGGGUGGAGCUGCUCUCAGGGUUCCGUCACUUUACCCUGUCCUCUCUGCCCUUGACAGGGACACAGGGGCUGGAAGGCGCUAGCUGAAUGUGGCGCUGCCUCUGAACUUUGGGACACGAGUGGCACUUGCCUUCAGUGCCCGAGGGCAGGAACUCUGGUCUUGUUCUGCCAUGUUCUGCCAUGCGGAUCUGGGCACCCGCUGGGGAAGGGCCAGGGUCCCUCACACUCCUGGCAUGCACUAUCUGCUUGUGCCCUUUGCUCCCGCGUGUGAGCACACAUGCAUGCGUGCGUGCACGUGUGUGUGGAGGAGUCACAGACAAGAGAGGGUUAAGGUCAGCAGGACAGUGGACACGAGUCAUGGUGGAGAAGGGGCCCUGAGCCAGUCAGGAGGGCGCGAGGUGUGGUGUGGCUGGGCCCCUGCGUCUGCGCUGACCUCUCUGUGCGGCUCGGCCGUCCCUGUGCAUGCUGGACUGCCUGCUUGGGAAACAUACUUCUUUAUAUGCCCAUAUGGACCUGCUGAGCUAUGGAAUGUAAAGAAGUAUGUAUUUCAGGCAGGAACUCUCUCGCCAGACUGAGGGGUGGUCCGCCUACAGGGGCCGCCUGGGGUGGGGGGCGGCAGACAGGCUGUGGCGGGCGAGGCCGGGCAGGGCUGCCUGGCGACGGUCGGCCGUCCCUGCCGGCAUUGUUCUGACACUUUGCCUGUGUCAGCAGGUGGAAGCGCUCAUCAGACAUUAAAUAUUCAGCGUGCUGACUGCGGCAGAGGGGAGGAGGC